rnacentral:tRNA from 1 species
CCGAUGUAGCUCAGUGGUAGAGCGUUUCCUUGGUAAGGAAGAGGUCACGAGUUCAAUUCUCGUCAUUG